rnacentral:rRNA from 1 species
GACGAACGCUGGCGGCGUGCUUAACACAUGCAAGUCGAGCGGUAAGGCCCUUUCGGGUGUACACGAGCGGCGAACGGGUGAGUAACACGUGGGUGACCUGCCCUCAGCUCUGGGAUAAGCCUGGGAAACUGGGUCUAAUACUGGAUAUGACUCCACGGUGCAUGUCGUGGGGUGGAAAGCCUUGUGCGGCUGAGGAUGGGCCCGCGGCCUAUCAGCUUGUUGGUGGGGUGAUGGCCUACCAAGGCGACGACGGGUAGCCGGCCUGAGAGGGCGACCGGCCACACUGGGACUGAGACACGGCCCAGACUCCUACGGGAGGCAGCAGUGGGGAAUCUUGCGCAAUGGGCGAAAGCCUGACGCAGCGACGCCGCGUGAGGGAUGACGGCCU